rnacentral:rRNA from 1 species
ACUCCUACGGGAGGCAGCAGUAGGGAAUCUUCCACAAUGGGCGCAAGCCUGAUGGAGCAACACCGCGUGAGUGAAGAAGGGUUUCGGCUCGUAAAGCUCUGUUGUUAAAGAAGAACACGUAUGAGAGUAACUGUUCAUACGUUGACGGUAUUUAACCAGAAAGUCACGGCUAACUACGUGCCAGCAGCCGCGGUAAUACGUAGGUGGCAAGCGUUAUCCGGAUUUAUUGGGCGUAAAGAGAGUGCAGGCGGUUUUCUAAGUCUGAUAUGAAAGCCUUCGGCUUAACCGGAGAAGUGCAUCGGAAACUGGAUAACUUGAGUGCAGAAGAGGGUAGUGGAACUCCAUGUGUAGCGGUGGAAUGCGUAGAUAUAUGGAAGAACACCAGUGGCGAAGGCGGCUACCUGGUCUGCAACUGACGCUGAGACUCGAAAGCAUGGGUAGCGAACAGGAUUAGAUACCCUGGUAGGAUAGCG